GCUGGGUGUGGUGGUGCAUGCCUGUAGUCCUAGCUACUCAGGAAGCUGAGGCCAGAGGAUUGGUUGAGCUCAGGAGGUUGAGGCUGCAGUGAGUCGUGAUCAUGCCACUGCACUCCAGCCUGGGCUACAGAGCAAGACCCUGUCUCUU
rnacentral:SRP_RNA from 1 species